UCACCGUAUACCAGCUCUGCCGAUGACGC
rnacentral:sRNA from 1 species